GGGGGCGGGUACGGGCCGCGGGCCGGCGCCGCCCGGAGCGCAGCGGGCAGUGCUGCCCGCGCCUAUCGCGGGGCCGGGCGUCAUCCAGGGAUGCCCUUUCAGAAGUUUUGAAGAUGCUGAAUUAAAGAAUUCAACAAAGUGAUUUGCUGAGAGGGACAAGCUUCCAUUCCCGAUGCCUGCUGAAUCAAGACUAUCUGGUUUUGUUCGGGCUGAAAAAUCAGGAGGAAAUGUAUCUAUGACUUAAUCUACCUCUUUUCAUAUCCUUGGGAUGUUACUGCAUGCAUUCUCUCAGUUACUUCCCAUUAUGUGCUGUGUGUGCAGGAUGUGCAUGUAAACAUGGUGUUUGUUUGCUGUAGUGGCAUAAAAAUUUGUAACUUUGUACUGCUCAAAAGAUGAGAAACAAUUUUAGCACAGAUCUUCAAAGGAUGCCUUAUAAUAGGACUGCAAAGCAACGUGCUCAUUUACAUUUAUAUUAGGAAACCGCUGGUUCGACUUUGCUUUCAGCAUCAAAAGCCUGCUGAAGCAGAUGAGACACACAACUUUAUAAGGUUGUUUACUUUGUUUCAAAUUCUUUCACAGUUUAUUAUUUCUUUGACUGGCUCUCCAGCUUCAUGUUCCAGCCUAACUGCAUAUUUAACAUUCAGAUCUUUCUGUUUGUGCUCAGGAGAGUAUGUAUCUUUAAAUGAUUGCAUCUGGAUGUAGCAAAGGUUUCAAAACCAUCGAUUAUUUUCCAUCUUUUAUUUGUCCCUCAGUACAAGAGCAAUGCUGAGUAAUAUAAGACAGUGACUUUUACUCUCCCUCUGUGCUCUGCAGAAAAGGGCUACCAGUGAACUCAUGCAAAUGGAUUGGGAAGUUAAAAAAAAAAAAAAAAAAAGCCUAUAUCUGAUUAUUUCCUUCCUAUGCAGUUGUGAGCAGCGAUACCAUCAGAGUGGUUCUAGAGGUCUCUAAAGACUGUUGUGGUGCACAUCUUGCAGAUUUUAGAGGUAGAAAAGAAAGUUCUAGCUCUCCUUUCAGAAAUAGCCUCAGUUAAAUUUGGUCCCUGCCAAGCUGGCUUAUGAUAAACUGGAGCAGGACUUUGAAAGCAACUCAGUAUGUUGUACACUAUAUGGCAAAUAGCCACAAAAGUUAUUGCUUUUGCAGGAAACGAAUCUCCCACUGCUUUUGCAGAACAAUGAGCAGGCAUUAAAAAAAAACGGUAGCAGCUAGAGUAGCCUGGUAGGUUGUAGGAUGGGUGGGGUUUGAAAAAGGGUCUCCUAGCCAAGAUUCAAGAGCAAUUCCCCUUAAUUCUGAUGGCUUUCAGUUAGAAAUACUGAUUUUGCCUCCUGUAUUGUUUGUUGCAGCUGUUUCUGAAAAGAUUGUGAAAUAAAAUUAUGGGAGAAAUAAACUGGGUUUGGGGGAGGUCUGAAUUCUUCCUUCAUAAGAUUUCCUAGGAAAAAGUAUAUCUGUCCCAGGGGCUCAAUUAUCUGUGCUCUUCACUGUUUUGUUAGUUUCUGUGAGUUCGUUUGCUUUGGUUUUGCACAGCAGUUCAGUGAGAAAGAAACCAUCAGCUCCACGCUAAUUGUAUUUCCUCUAAUACCAGCAGUGUGAAUUUUUUUUCCAACAUCUUCCUGGAAUCUUAUCAGGUCAUGCCUGAAUGAAAUCAAAUUAGUUGAAUUCUUUUGCUAUAGCUUUCUCUUUAGCUAUAUCACUGUUAAGAUUCAAAGGACCCACUUUUUAUUUAUUUCAAGGGCCAUUUACACCUCU